GACGAACGCUGGCGGCGUGCUUAACACAUGCAAGUCGAACGGUAAGGCCCUCCGGGGUACACGAGUGGCGAACGGGUGAGUAACACGUGGGUGAUCUGCCCUGCACUUCGGGAUAAGCCUGGGAAACUGGGUCUAAUACCGGAUAGGACCACUGCCUGCAUGGGUGGUGGUGGAAAGCUUUUGCGGUGUGGGAUGGGCCCGCGGCCUAUCAGCUUGUUGGUGGGGUGAUGGCCUACCAAGGCGACGACGGGUAGCCGGCCUGAGAGGGUGACCGGCCACACUGGGACGGGGAGACGGCCCGGACUCCUACGGGAGGCAGCAGUGGGGAAUAGUGCACAAUGGGCGCAAGCCUGAUGCAGCGACGCGGCGUGAGGGAUGACGGCCUUCGGGUUGUAAACCUCUUUCAGCACCGACGAAGCGCAAGUGACGGUAGGUGCAGAAGAAGGACCGGCCAACUACGUGCCAGCCGCCGCCGUAA
rnacentral:rRNA from 1 species